rnacentral:rRNA from 1 species
AGAGUUUGAUCCUGGCUCAGAGCGAACGCUGGCGGCGUGCUUAACACAUGCAAGUCGAACGCGCAGUUUGGUGUAGCAAUACACUGGAUGUGCGCGUGGCGAACGGGUGCGUAACACGUGGAUAACCUUCCUUCUGGUGGGGAAUAACCCCGUGAAAACGGGGCUAAUACCGCAUAACAUUGCGAGGGCGCAUGCUCUUGCAUUCAAAGGCGCAAGUCGCCGGAAGAGGGAUCCGCGGCCGAUUAGCUAGUUGGCGAGGUAAUGGCUCACCAAGGCGAUGAUCGGUAGCCGGACUGAGAGGUUGGCCGGCCACACUGGAACUGAGACACGGUCCAGACUCCUACGGGAGGCAGCAGUGGGGAAUCUUGCGCAAUGGGCGAAAGCCUGACGCAGCAACGCCGCGUGGGGGAUGAAGCUUCUCGGAGUGUAAACCCUUUUCGACCGGGACGAAUGCCCGCAAGGGCUUGACGGUACCGGUAUAAGAAGCCCCGGCUAACUACGUGCCAGCAGCCGCGGUAAAACGUAGGGGGCCAGCGUUGCUCGGAAUUACUGGGCGUAAAGGGUCCGUAGGCGGUGUGACAAGUCGGUAGUGAAAUCUCUGGGCUUAACUCAGAGGCUGCUGCCGAAACUGUUGUGCUAGAGUGUGAGAGAGGCGAGUGGAAUUACGGGUGUAGCGGUGAAAUGCGUAGAUAUCCGUAGGAACAUCCGAGGCGAAAGCGGCUCGCUGGAUCACAACUGACGCUGAGGGACGAAAGCUAGGGGAGCAAACAGGAUUAGAUACCCUAGUAGUCC